UCGAAGGUAGCAUAAUCAGUAGUUUUUUAAUUGAAAACUUGUAUGAAUGGUUUAACGAAAUAUUUGCUGUUUCAUAAAAAUUUAUAUAGAAAUUAAUUUUUUAGUAAAAAAGCUAAAAUAAUAUUAAAAGACGAGAAGACCCUAUAGAGUUUUAUAUAAUUAUUAUUAUAAUUCAUUUAUAAUAUUUAAAAUUUUAGUAAAAAUUAUAUUUUGUUGGGGUGACAGUAAAAUUUUGUAAUCUUUUAUUUAUUUUUAACAAUGAUUUUUGAUUAGUUGAUCCAAUUUUAUUGAUUAAAAGAUUAAAUUACCUUAGGGAUAACAGCGUAAUUUUUUUGGAGAGUUCAAAUCGAUAAAAAUUUUUGCGACCUCGAUGUUGGAUUAA
rnacentral:rRNA from 1 species